rnacentral:rRNA from 1 species
AGCGGACGCUGGCGGCAGGCCUAAUACAUGCAAGUCGAACGCCCCUUCGGGGGAGUGGCGGACGGGUGAGUAACGCGUGGGAACGUGCCCUUUGGUUCGGAACAACACAGGGAAACUUGUGCUAAUACCGAAUGUGCCCUUCGGGGGAAAGAUUUAUCGCCAUUGGAGCGGCCCGCGUUGGAUUAGGUAGUUGGUGGGGUAAAGGCCUACCAAGCCUACGAUCCAUAGCUGGUCUGAGAGGAUGAUCAGCCACACUGGGACUGAGACACGGCCCAGACUCCUACGGGAGGCAGCGGUAGGGAAUCUUGCGCAAUGGGCGAAAGCCUGACGCAGCCAUGCCGCGUGAAUGAUGAAGGUCUUAGGAUUGUAAAAUUCUUUCACCGGGGAAGAUAUUGACGGUACCCGGAGAAGAAGCCCCGGCUAACUUCGUGCCAGCCGCCGCAGUAA